GCACAAGCGGUGGAGCAUGUGGUUAAUUCGAAGCAACGCGAAGAACCUUACCAGGUCUUGACAUCCCUGACAACCCGAGAGAUCGGGCGUUCCCCCUUCGGGGGGACAGGGUGACAGGUGGUGCAUGGUUGUCGUCAGCUCGUGUCGUGAGAUGUUGGGUUAAGUCCCGCAACGAGCGCAACCCUCGACCUUAGUUGCCAGCAUUCAGUUGGGCACUCUAAGGUGACUGCCGGCUAAAAGUCGGAGGAAGGUGGGGAUGACGUCAAAUCAUCAUGCCCCUUAUGACCUGGGCUACACACGUGCUACAAUGGGCGGUACAAAGGGUCGCGAACCCGCGAGGGGGAGCCAAUCCCAAAAAGCCGCUCUCAGUUCGGAUUGCAGGCUGCAACUCGCCUGCAUGAAGCCGGAAUCGCUAGUAAUCGCGGAUCAGCAUGCCGCGGUGAAUACGUUCCCGGGCCUU
rnacentral:rRNA from 1 species